GCGAGUGAAGCGGCAAAAGCUCAAAUUUGAAAUCUAGUACCUUCGGUGCUCGAGUUGUAAUUUGAAGAAAGCAACUUUUUGUUUUGUCUCUUAUCUAUGUUCCUUGGAACAGGACGUCAUAGAGGGUGAGAAUCCCGUAUGAUAUGAGCUCAAUUCAUUGUAAAGUGUUUUCGAAGAGUCGAGUUGUUUGGGAAUGCAGCUCUAAGUGGGUGGUAAAUUCCAUCUAAAGCUAAAUAUUGGCGAGAGACCGAUAGCGAACAAGUACAGUGAUGGAAAGAUGAAAAGAACUUUGAAAAGAGAGUGAAAAAGUACGUGAAAUUGUUGAAAGGGAAGGGCUUGAGAUUAGACUUGGAGUUUAAUGAUUAGCAGUCUUUCUUAGACUGUGUACUUGUUUUUCUCUGGGCCAACAUCAGUUUUGAUGGUAGGAUAAUAACUAAAGAAUGUGGCUUCAGCUUGCUGGAGUGUUAUAACUUUGGUCGAUACUAUCUAUCGGGACUGAGGACUGCGUCUUUUGACUAGGAUGUUGGCGUAAUAAUCUUAAGCCGCCC
rnacentral:rRNA from 1 species